GAUCUACUCCCUCCGUCCCAAAAUAAGUGUCUCAACUUUGUACUAGCUCUAGUAUAAAGUUGUACGAAGCUUGAGACACUUAUUUUGGGACGGAGGGAGUAUAUA
rnacentral:pre_miRNA from 1 species